CAAUAGCGUAUAUUAAAGUUGUUGCGGUUAAAAAGCUCGUAGUUGGAUUUCUGCCGAGGACGACCGGUCCGCCCUCCGGGUGAGUAUCUGGCUCGGCCUGGGCAUCUUCUUGGAGAACGUAGCUGCACUUGGCUGUGUGGUGCGGUAUUCAGGACUUUUACUUUGAGGAAAUUAGAGUGUUUCAAGCAGGCACACGCCUUGAAUACAUUAGCAUGGAAUAAUAAGAUAGGACCUCGGUUCUAUUUUGUUGGUUUCUAGAUCUGAGGUAAUGAUUAAUAGGGAUAGUUGGGGGCAUUCGUAUUUAACUGUCAGAGGUGGAAUUCUUGGAUUUGUUAAAGACGGACUACUGCGAAAGCAUUUGCCAAGGAUGUUUUCAUUGA
rnacentral:rRNA from 1 species